AAUGAACGUUGGCGGCGUGGAUUAGGCAUGCAAGUCGUGCGGAAAGGCCCCGCAAGGGGUACUCGAGCGGCGAAAGGGAUAGUAACACGUAGGUACCCACCUCUGGGACGGGGAUAGCCGGGGGAAACUCCGAUUAAUACCCGAUAACAUCUUCGGAUCAAAGGUGUAAUUCCGCCUGGAGACGGGCCUGCGUCCUAUCAGCUAGUUGGUGAGGUAACGGCUCACCAAGGCUAGGACGGGUAGCGGGUGUGAGAGCACGACCCGCAUCACUGGGACUGAGACACUGCCCAGACACCUACGGGUGGCUGCAGUCGAGAAUCUUCGUCAAUGGGCGAAAGCCUGAACGAGCGACGCCGCGUGCGGGAUGAAGGCCUUCGGGUUGUAAACCGCUGUCAGUGGGAAUGAAAUGCCAGGGGGCUCACCUCCUGGUUUGACAGACCCGCAGAGGAAGGACGGGCUAAGUUCGUGCCAGCCGCCGCUGUAAAAC
rnacentral:rRNA from 1 species